rnacentral:SRP_RNA from 1 species
GCCGGGUGUGGUGGCUCUCACCUGUAAUCUUAGCACUUUGAGAGGCAGAGGUGAGAGAAUCAUUUGAGUCCAGGAGUUUGAGACCAGCCUGGGCAACACAGUGAGACCUCAUCUCUA